rnacentral:rRNA from 1 species
CCUACGGGGCGCAGCAGGCGCGAAAACUUUACAAUGCGAGAAAUCGUGAUAAGGGAACCCCGAGUGCCCGUAAAUCCGGGCUGUCCGCCAGUGUAAAUAACUGGUGAAGAAAGGGCCGGGCAAGACCGGUGCCAGCCGCCGCGGUAAUACCGGCGGCUCGAGUGGUGGCCGCUAUUACUGGGCUUAAAGCGUUCGUAGCUGGGCUGUUAAGUCCCCUGGGAAAUCCACCGGCUCAACCGAUGGGCGUUCAGGGGAUACUGGCAGCCUAGGGACCGGGAGAGGUGAGGGGUACUCCAGGGGUAGGAGUGAAAUCCUGUA